GAUGAACGCUGGCGGCGUGCCUAAUACAUGCAAGUCGAGCGAACAGACGAGGAGCUUGCUCCUCUGGGGUUAGCUGCGGACGGGUGAGUAACACGUGGAUAACCUGCCUGUAAGACUGGGAUAACUUCGGGAAACGGUAGCUAAUACCGGAUAACAUUUUGAACCGCAUGGUUCAUACUUAAAAGGCGGUAUUGCUCUACCAUAUAGUUGACUCCCGUCCUCAUUAGCUAGUUGGUAAGGUAAGGGCUUACAAAGGCAACGAUGCUUACCCGACCUGAGAGGGUGAUCGGCCACACUGGAACUGAGACACGCUCCAGACUCCUACGGGAGGCAGCAGAAGGGAAUCUUCCGCAAUGGGCGAAAGCCUGACGGAGCAACGCGGCGUGAGUGAUGAAGGUCUUCGGAUCGUAAAACUCUGUUAUUAGGGAAGAACAUAUGUGUAAGUAACUGUGCACAUCUUGACGGUACCUAAUCAGAAAGCCACGGCUAACUACGUG
rnacentral:rRNA from 1 species